rnacentral:rRNA from 1 species
UACGUAGGGUGCGAGCGUUUAAUCGGAAUUACUGGGCGUAAAGCGUGCGCAGGCGGUCUGUUAAGACCGAUGUGAAAUCCCCGGGCUUAACCUGGGAACUGCAUUGGUGACUGGCAGGCUUUGAGUGUGGCAGAGGGAGGUAGAAUUCCACGUGUAGCAGUGAAAUGCGUAGAGAUGUGGAGGAACACCAAUUGCGAAGGCAGCCUGCCAGAGCCGUAUUGACGCUGAGGCACGAAAGCGUGGGGAGCGAACAGG